CUAGGUUGCGUUUAAUCAAGCUUCUCUGAAACUAUAAAAGGAGGUUAUAAUUGUAGCAUUCGUAGUAGUAGUAGUAGUGGCAGUAGUAGCAGUAGGGGUAGUAGUAGUAGUGGCAGUAGUAGUAGUAUUGUCAGUAGUAGAAGUAGUAGUGGUGGUGUGGUGGUGGUGGUAGUGGUAGUGGUGGUGACA